rnacentral:lncRNA from 1 species
UCUUGGAAUAUAGAAGACUCAAAAGCCUCCAGCGCGAUGCCAUGCCACGACACCGCAAGAUUGGAAAGUUCAGCCGCCAAACGGUAAGGUAAAGCCACACUCUCCGAGUGAACAGCGUCGAAUGACGAUCUCUUAUUCUCAGCUUUGAACAACGGCCACGCUAAUUCUGGCUUCCAUUGAUUCGGCGCAGCGUCGAUGUAAUGAACAGUCAUCUGCGACGAGGUUUUAUCGGCAGUUGUCGUCUUAACAGGAGGAGCAGACGUGAAGACAUGAACGUCGUGACCACGAGCCGCGAGGAAAGAAUGAAGAGUAAGCGCAUGUCGCUCCAUUCCCCCGGG